UGUUCUCGGCGUUUUGGCGCCAAUCGGGAGAGGUUGGUGCUGUAACGGAGCUUAUGGAAGUUUAUUUAUUUAUUUUGUUAUUAGCAGCCCCCUUGAUAAAGGCACAAGAGCCUUGUGUUCUGGGUCCUGAUUGGCUGUAGACCAUUGUCGAUCUCCUCUGUGCCAGCUCGCCUGUACAGGACAGAAUCGCUACAUCGAUCACUAGCAAUGCAGCUGCAGUCUGCUCAGCAGUGAGAACUGAAGACGUCAGUCAAAGAGAAGGAAAAACAGUCAGAGCUGAGAGAGUUUCUACCAGAGCCAAAUGUCAUCGACUCCUCACUGAAGUCGUCCACCAGUCCAACCACUGGAAUCCAGCUGCUGCUCUCUAACUGGUCCACACAGCAGCUCAGACCUGACACAUUCACUGUAAACACACUGGUUUAUAUUCUGUUUGUUCUCCUCAUGAAGGAAACCUCACACAACCACUGAGGGCAGAAAGUUCAAACAGGACAGUUAUUAUUCCUUUCUUUUAUAAAGAAGCUGGGAAACUGACUUUCCCAAACUUUUUAUAUUAAAAAGAUAACAUUUUCUUUACCAAACCUUUCAGAAUAAAAGUAUGACCAAGACAUCAUUUAUACAUAAACAGUAAUAAAUCUUAUGUGACUAAAAUGUAGAUGUAAUCCAUGUUUUCAUGUCUUCAGUAACUUUCCUGUUAUUUAUUUGUUAUUUCUAAGUGUGCUGUCGUCUCCACAGCAGUGAUCUGGUUUCUCUGCAGGUUCAAUAAACUUUGGUCUCACUUGA